rnacentral:rRNA from 1 species
UACAGGGGGUGCAAACGUUGCUCGGAAUUACUGGGCGUAAAGCGCACGCAGGCGGUCUUUUAAGUUUGACGUGAAAGCUCCCGGCUUAACUGGGAGAGGUCGUUGAAGACUGGAAGACUUGAGGCAAUGAGAGGGGUGUAGAAUUCCCGGUGUAGUGGUGGAAUGCGUAGAUAUCCGGAAGAACACCGGUGGCGAAGGCGGCCUGCUGGGCAGUUGCUGACACUGAGGCGCGACAGCGUGGGGAGCAAACAGG